CAUUGGGUUCCAUACUUAGCCAGCAAUAGGUGUGAGUGCGAGUUGACCCAACUUGAUUAGAACUCUUCUAAUCGAUUUAGGUCCAAACUGCGCGAACCCGAACUUAACAAUUAGAAUCCUUUCUAAUUGGUGAUCGAAUUAAACUCUUUAAUUCGAUCAAACCUAUAAGACAAGAUUGACGUCUAGCAACGUGUCAUGUCUACCCAAAAAAUAUGGAAUUUGGUAGAAAUACCAAAAAUACCCUUCAGUGGCAAGUUACCGUACAAUUCAAUCCUUUAAUCAAACUGCAUCCCGAAUAUGUAUAUGAGUAUGAAUAUAUAU
rnacentral:lncRNA from 1 species